rnacentral:rRNA from 1 species
UACGUAGGGUGCGAGCGUUAAUCGGAAUUACUGGGCGUAAAGCGUGCGCAGGCGGUUUGCUAAGACCGAUGUGAAAUCCCCGGGCUUAACCUGGGAACUGCAUUGGUGACUGGCAGGCUAGAGUGUGGCAGAGGGGGGUAGAAUUCCACGUGUAGCAGUGAAAUGCGUAGAGAUGUGGAGGAAUACCGAUGGCGAAGGCAGCCCCCUGGACUAACACUGACGCUCAUGCACGAAAGCGUGGGGAGCAAACAGG